rnacentral:lncRNA from 1 species
UUUCCUUUGAACAAUUGGGAGAGCUCCAAGCCAUUUAAUGUUGCUGUCACGUUCCGUGAAGAGAGGAGAGCUCUACCUCAUUUAGAUUCCUUUUCGUUUUUUUUAUAAUAAUGUUGAUCAUCAGGUUUUUCUUUUCUUUUUAUUUUAUAUACAAUGAGCAUUUAACUUUUGUUUAGCUAAUGCAUUUAAAGUGAUGUGACACUGGAAUGGGUGAAAGUUACGGUUGAACUUGUUUUCAAUUUAAAAGCAUGUUCUUUC